GGCUCUGAGUAUUGGGUUCUGCUCAUUACAACGCGAGCAUAAGAAAAACUAUUACAUAAAUACAUACAAAAGAGCUCCUAAUAGUGAGACAAAAGAGCUCCUAAUAGCUCAUAAAUACAUACAAAAGAGCCAGUAGAAAAAGUGAGACAACAACGCCAUCUGACCUCCUAAUAGGCUCUGGAUGGACAAGAGAAUCGUUCUGCAAUCAUAUGCUGAACACCACUUAUCCUGCAACAACAAAAUUCAAGUCAUAAAAGUUGGGAUGAAGCAAAAGAAUCUGAAAUAUUUUGACAUGGAUGCAGAAAAGCAAAUGAGAAGGUGAGAAUGACAAUACAAGGCUAAUUACUUGAAGAAUGCCCAAACAAAUAUUCCCAAAUUGGUCGACAUUUGAAUGGAAGCAUCAAGCAUGUAGUCUCAAACGUGACUUGAGAAAGGCUAAUCUAGAUUCUAGUGGAAAGCACAACCAAAGUUUGUAAGACGGACCGUCAUGGUUCAUUUGCCGCCUUAAAUUCUGCAAGUCCACGUAAAUAUGCUCCCCCUGUCAGGAAAGGCAGAUGCUCCCAGAUCUCCACCACUCAUCUAUGUUACUCCUAUAAAUCAGAGACACCAUUUAAAUACUGUAAAAAACAACUAACCGAGCACCACUAUGUCUUCUUGACAUUACAGAUUGUUAAACAUCAACUCAUGAAGAAAUGAGUGCAACACAUCAACUCCACUGCCUUACCUCAAGUAAGGCCAAUACUUUUUCAUUCCAAACGAUACGCAAUCGAAUAUAUUUGGGAUUAUAUUUGUUACAUAAAAUAUAAAGCACAGAUCUAAACGGUGCAAUAAUAUCAAGAAAAAGCACAGAUCUAAUUCAAUUACGAAAUGAAAGAAAAUAAUAUUUAUACGAAACCACGAAAAACCAAAACUAAUAUCAGAAAAACACAGAUCAAAUCCAAUUACAAAAUGCAAAAAUAACAGAGUACCAUGUUUGUGAAUUUCAAUUCAUCCUAUUCCAUUAUAUUAUACUAUAAGCAGGGUAAUCCUAUAAGCAUCAUUAUAUUCCAUUAUGUUAUUCCAUCAUAAUAUCUAUUCCAUUAUAUUCAUACUAUAAGUAUCCAUUAUAUUAUACUAUAAGCAGGGUAAUCCUUAGAUGGAAGUAUAUGUACUAUAUGCGUACUCACAUAAUGGAAAAAAUAAAUCAUUAACAUAAUUAAUCGAGGCUGCAACAGCAAUAUCCUUUUCUCUUUAAAUUUUAGUUCUUUUUAUGCGAUUCCACUCAACUAUCACCUCGAAUUUUGCAGUUUUUUCCCUACUAUAUAUAUAUCAGCCAGUGUUUGUCACUCACCUCCAACAAUAUAUAUUUCUCAGCACUAAUACAAAAUCAAAAACACGAAACAACUUACAUGAAUAAUGAUGAAAAUAUCAUAUUAAUCAACAAAAUCUGAAAGAACAAACCUCAAAAAUUGAGAGCCAAUUAACCAAAGAUGACCUGGAAAACAAAAAAAAGAAUUUCGGAUGGUAUGCGUGGAAACCAUUUCCCAAAAAUUUAUAGUUGAAAAGACAGGGUAUAAUUAACGAUUGAGAAGCUUAUGUUAGACUUUUUACCUUCAUUGGGGGCAUUAAUCAAUGAGAAUCAAGAGGUGAUUGAGGUAGAGUUCAUGGAAACGAUUAAGGAGAAUGGAGAAUCGAGAGGCAAAUGACAGAGAUCUUGUGAGAAGCCAGCCACCAUCAUAAUAGAAACAUUGAUUUGGAGAUGGUAAGGACCUGAUUAUUGAAUUCCAUUGAUUAUGGUGAAACGCUUUCCAUUGAUUGUGGUGAAACACAACUGAGAUUUGAGUGAGGGGAUUAUAAUGGAAAUGUUGAAGAAGAUAUUAAGGAAUUUUGAGGA
rnacentral:lncRNA from 1 species